GAGGAAAGCUGGGGGCGUGCCUAAUACAUGCAAGUCGAGCGAACGGACGAGAAGCUUGCUUUUCUGAUGUUAGCGGCGGACGGGUGAGUAACACGUGGAUAACCUACCUAUAAGACUGGGAUAACUUCGGGAAACCGGAGCUAAUACCGGAUAAUAUUUUGAACCGCAUGGUUCAAAAGUGAAAGACGGUCUUGCUGUCACUUAUAGAUGGAUCCGCGCUGCAUUAGCUAGUUGGUAAGGUAACGGCUUACCAAGGCAACGAUGCAUAGCCGACCUGAGAGGGUGAUCGGCCACACUGGAACUGAGACACGGUCCAGACUCCUACGGGAGGCAGCAGUAGGGAAUCUUCCGCAAUGGGCGAAAGCCUGACGGAGCAACGCCGCGUGAGUGAUGAAGGUCUUCGGAUCGUAAAACUCUGUUAUUAGGGAAGAACAUAUGUGUAAGUAACUGUGCACAUCUUGACGGUACCUAAUCAGAAAGCCACGGCUAACUACGUG
rnacentral:rRNA from 1 species